GGUACCGGCUCAGUGGUAGAGCACUUGCCUAGCAUGUGGGAGGCCCUGGGUUCAAUUCUCAGCACCA
rnacentral:tRNA from 1 species